AUGGUACAGAUGCAAAAUUGCCAUGAACUUUUUCUUUUUUGCCAUCAAAAAUUACACAAACAAUAAUUCCCCCAACAACAACAAUUACCGCAACAACAAUUGCGCCAACAACAAAAGUUCCCCCAACUGCAACAAUUCCCCAAGCAACCACAACAACAAUUUCCCAUACCAUACCCACCCCAACAACCAUUCCCCCAGCAACAACAACCUUCCCCACACCAACAACCAACUGGGAGCGAUGUUAUAAGUAUCAGUGGCCGAUGA
rnacentral:rRNA from 1 species